UACAGAGGGGGCAAGCGUUGUUCGGAAUUACUGGGCGUAAAGGGCGCGUAGGCGGCCUGUUAAGUCGAACGUGAAAUCCCCGGGCUCAACCCGGGAACUGCGUCCGAUACUGGCAGGCUUGAAUCCGGGAGAGGGAUGCGGAAUUCCAGGUGUAGCGGUGAAAUGCGUAGAUAUCAGGAGGAACACCGGUGGCGAAGGCGGUUCUCUGGGCAUGUCCUGACGCUGAGGAGCGAAAGUGUGGGGAGCGAACAGG
rnacentral:rRNA from 1 species